rnacentral:rRNA from 1 species
GACGAACCGUGCGAACGUUGUUCGGAAUCACUGGGCUUAAAGGGCGCGUAGGCGGCUGUGCAAGUCGGGGGUGAAAUCUUUCGGCUCAACCGGAAAAGUGCCUUCGAUACUGCGCAGCUCGAGGGAGGUAGGGGCAGACGGAACUUCCGGUGGAGCGGUGAAAUGCGUUGAUAUCGGAAGGAACGCCGGUGGCGAAAGCGGUCUGCUGGCCCUCUUCUGACGCUGAGGCGCGAAAGCCAGGGGAGCAAAC